rnacentral:rRNA from 1 species
UGGGGAAUUUUGGACAAUGGGGCAACCCUGAUCCAGCCAUCCCGCGUGUGCGAUGAAGGCCUUCGGGUUGUAAAGCACUUUUGGCAGGGAAGAAACAGCCUGGGCUAAUAUCCCGGGCGACUGACGGUACCUGCAGAAUAAGCACCGGCUAACUACGUGCCAGCAGCCGCGGUAAUACGUAGGGUGCAAGCGUUAAUCGGAAUUACUGGGCGUAAAGCGUGCGCAGGCGGUUCGGAAAGAAAGGUGUGAAAUCCCAGGGCUUAACCUUGGAACUGCACUUUUAACUACCGGGCUAGAGUACGUCAGAGGGGGGUAGAAUUCCACGUGUAGCAGUGAAAUGCGUAGAGAUGUGGAGGAAUACCGAUGGCGAAGGCAGCCCCCUGGGAUGAUACUGACGCUCAUGCACGAAAGCGUGGGGAGCAAACA